GCAUUGCGGUGAUGAAUUUAUGUAUUUUCGCAUGUCAGACUUCAGAGAUGCCCCUGGCGUCAGCGAGAAUUCAUAUCAUAUGACUGAGCAAUGA
rfam:Triticum aestivum genome assembly, contig: Triticum_aestivum_CS42_TGACv1_scaffold_556115_7AL